rnacentral:rRNA from 1 species
UACGUAGGGGGCAAGCGUUGUCCGGAAUCAUUGGGCGUAAAGAGCGUGUAGGCGGCCAGAUAAGUCCGCUGUGAAAUCUCGAGGCUCAACUUCGAGCUGUCGGUGGAAACUGUCUGGCUAGAGUCCGGAAGAGGAGAAUGGAAUUCCUGGUGUAGCGGUGAAAUGCGCAGAUAUCAGGAGGAACACCAGUGGCGAAGGCGGUGCUCUGGACAGUUCCUGACACUGAGACACGAAGGCCAGGGGAGCAAACGGG